GACGAACCGUGCGAACGUUGUUCGGAAUCACUGGGCUUAAAGGGCGCGUAGGCGGCUUGCCAAGUCAGGGGUGAAAUCUUUCGGCUCAACCGGAAAAGUGCCUUUGAUACUGGCAGGCUCGAGGGAGGUAGGGGCAUGUGGAACUUCCGGUGGAGCGGUGAAAUGCGUUGAUAUCGGAAGGAACGCCGGUGGCGAAAGCGACGUGCUGGACCUUUUCUGACGCUGAGGCGCGAAAGCUAGGGGAGCGAAC
rnacentral:rRNA from 1 species